UACGUAGGGUGCGAGCGUUAAUCGGAAUUACUGGGCGUAAAGCGUGCGCAGGCGGUUCGGAAAGAAAGAUGUGAAAUCCCAGGGCUUAACCCUGGAACUGCAUUUUUAACUCCCGGGCUAGAGUGUGUCAGAGGGGGGUAGAAUUCCACGUGUAGCAGUGAAAUGCGUAGAGAUGUGGAGGAACACCGAUGGCGAAGGCAGCCCCCUGGGCCAAAACUGACGCUGAGGAGCGAAAGCAUGGGGAGCGAACAGG
rnacentral:rRNA from 1 species